rnacentral:rRNA from 1 species
GUCCUGGCCCUAAACGUUGGAUACUAGGUGUAGGAGGCAUCGACCCCUUCUGUGCCGCAGCUAACGCAUUAAGUAUCCCGCCUGGGGAGUACGACCGCAAGGUUGAAACUCAAAGGAAUUGACGGGGGCCCGCACAAGCGGUGGAGUAUGUGGUUUAAUUCGACGCAACGCGAAGAACCUUACCGGGGCUUGACAUGCACAGGACAGGCGUGGAAACACGCUCUCCCUUCGGGGUCUGUGCACAGGUGCUGCAUGGCUGUCGU